rnacentral:rRNA from 1 species
GACGAACGCUGGCGGCGUGCCUAAUACAUGCAAGUCGAACGCACAGUUUAUACCGUAGCUUGCUACACCAUAAACUGUGAGUUGCGAAAGGGUGAGUAACGCGUAGGUAACCUGCCGGGUAGCGGGGGGUAACUAGUGGAAACGAUAGCUAAUACCGCAUAAUAUUAAUUAUUGCAUGAUAAUUGAUUGAAAGAUGCAAUUGCAUCACUACCAGAUGGACCUGCGUUGUAUUAGUUAGUAGGUGAGGUAACGCCGCACCUAGGCGACGAUACAUAGCCGAACGGAGAGGGUGAUCGGCCGCACUGGGACUGAGACACGGCCCAUAGGCCUACGGGAGGCAGCAGUAGGGAAUCGUCAGCAAUGGACGAGAGUCUGACCGAGCAACGCCGCGGGAGUGAGGAAGAUUUUCGGAUCGUAAAGCUCUGUUGUAAGAGAGGAACGGGUGUGAGAGUGUAAAGUUCACACUGUGACGGUAACUUACCAGAAAGCGACGGCUAACUACGUG